GAAAUUCUUGGUUGUAUUGAGACACAUGUCACAAAGCCUCAUUCUGCGAAGUAAAGAUAAAGGUUUUGGGGAAAUUGUUCUAGCUCGCCCAUAAGGCCCAAACAGCGCGAAAGCCUAAUAGAGGUGAAGGGCGACAUUCAGCGCAAAAUAGGUGGGCUCAUUUUUCUCCACCAAGCACUUAAACUCCCCCACAAAUUAUAUCCUAGUCAUCCAUAAUGAUUCGAAGAUUGACA
rnacentral:lncRNA from 1 species